UAAAGAAAGGAUCCUACGGGAUCGGCCUAACGAUGAGUCUGCGUCCCAUUAGCUGGUUGGUGAGGUAAAGGCCCACCAAGGCGAUGAUGGGUAGCCGGCCUGAGAGGGUGUACGGCCACACUGGGACUGAGAUACGGCCCAGACUCCUACGGGAGGCAGCAGCUAAGAAUAUUCCGCAAUGGACGAAAGUCUGACGGAGCGACGCCGCGUGGAUGAAGAAGGCCGCAAGGUUGUAAAAUCCUUUUGCUGGGGAAGAAUAAGCACAGGAGGGAAUGCCUGUGUGAUGACAUGAACCGGCGAAUAAGCCCCGGCCAACUACGUGCCAGCAGCCGCGGUAACACGUAGGGGGCGAGCGUUGUUCGGAAUUACUGGGCGUAAAGGGCAUGUAGGCGGUUUAGUAAGCUUGGCGUGAAAGACCACGGCUCAACCGUGGGGUUGCGUUGAGAACUGCUGAACUUGAGUUACGGAGAGGGAGCUAGAAUUCCUGGUGUAGGGGUGGAAUCUGUAGAGAUCAGGAAGAAUACCAAUGGCGAAGGCAAGCUUCUGGCCGAUAACUGACGCUGAGGUGCGAAAGUGUGGGGAUCAAACAGGAUUAGAUACCCUGGUAGUCCACACUGUAAACGAUGUACACUAGGUGCUGGUGCGGAUGCAUCAGGGCCGAAGCGAACGCGCUAAGUGUACCGCCUGGGGAGUAUGCCCGCAAGGGUGAAACUCAAAGGAAUUGACGG
rnacentral:rRNA from 1 species